UACGGGGGGGGCAAGCGUUGUUCGGAUUCAUUGGGCGUAAAGGGUGCGUAGGUGGUGAGGUAAGUCGGAUGUGAAAUCUCCGAGCUCAACUCGGAAAUGGCAUUGGAAACUACCUUGCUCGAGGGUUGGAGGGGGGACUGGAAUACUUGGUGUAGCAGUGAAAUGCGUAGAUAUCAAGUGGAACACCAGUGGCGAAGGCGAGUCCCUGGACAACUCCUGACACUGAGGCACGAAAGCUAGGGGAGCAAACAGG
rnacentral:rRNA from 1 species